CAGCCGCCGCGGUAAUACGGAGGGAGCUAGCGUUGUUCGGAAUUACUGGGCGUAAAGCGCGCGCAGGCGGUUUGUUAAGACAGAUGUGAAAUCCCCGGGCUUAACCUGGGAACUGCAUUUGAAACUGGCAGGCUAGAGUCUUGUAGAGGGGGGUAGAAUUCCAGGUGUAGCGGUGAAAUGCGUAGAGAUCUGGAGGAAUACCGGUGGCGAAGGCGGCCCCUGGACAAAGACUGACGCUCAGGUGCGAAAGCGUGGGGAGCAAACAGGAUUAGAUACCCGGGUAGUCCCUGUCUCUUAUACA
rnacentral:rRNA from 1 species